CCGUAAAACGCUUGUCUACUUGGAGGUUGAGGUUUAGAACUUUUGGCUUUCGGCGCUAACGCAUUUAAGUAGACCGCCUGGGGAGUACGGCCGCAAGGUUAAAACUCAAAUGAAUUGACGGGGGCCCGCACAAGCGGUGGAGCAUGUGGUUUAAUUCGAUGCAACGCGAAGAACCUUACCUACUCUUGACAUCCAGCGAAGCCUUUAGAGAUAGAGGCGUGCCUUCGGGAGCGCUGAGACAGGUGCUGCAUGGCUGUCGUCAGCUCGUGUUGUGAAAUGUUGGGUUAAGUCCCGCAACGAGCGCAACCCUUAUCCUUGUUUGCCAGCACGUAAUGGUGGGAACUCCAGGGAGACUGCCGGUGAUAAACCGGAGGAAGGUGGGGACGACGUCAAGUCAUCAUGGCCCUUACGAGUAGGGCUACACACGUGCUACAAUGGCAGAUACAGAGGGCAGCGAAGCUGCGAAGUGGAGCGAAUCCCUUAAAGUUUGUCGUAGUCCGGAUUGGAGUCUGCAACUCGACUCCAUGAAGUCGGAAUCGCUAGUAAUCGUGGAUCAGAAUGCCACGGUGAAUACGUUCCCGGGCCUUGUACACACCGCCCGU
rnacentral:rRNA from 1 species